CGCCAGGAGAGGCGAGGAGCAGCAUCACCAGAGUCAGGUCCCGAGAGACAGAGGUGAGGGCCAUGUUGCUCCUGCCUGAACUGCAACCGCUGCAGCAAAGCGGUGCAGGAUCUGCAGCAGCUGGUGCUAUCGGUGCUGCCGGAGCACGUGGCCACUCCAGGUGCUGAAUUCUGGGCUUGAGGGACCUGGAGGAGCUGGUGCAGCAGGGCAGCCUGUCCUGCUGCAGCUCUGCCAAUGACCAGAGCGAGGAGCAGCGUGGAGCAUCAGCUUGCGAGUCAAGUGCUGAGGGACAGACACGUGGGCCACGGUGCUCCUGCUCCAGCUGCAACCGCAGCAGCAAAGCGGUGCAGGAGCUGCAGCAGCUGGUGCUGUCGGGGCUGCCUGAGCACGUGGCCGCUCUAAGCCCUGAAUUCUGGGUGGUGGCCUGGACGGACCUGUUGGAGAGAGUGGAGUGGGGCAUCCUGUGCUGCUGCAUCUGCCCCGUACCAGAGAAAGGAGCGACGUGGAGCAGCAGUCCUGGAGUCAGGUGCUGACAGACAGAUGUCUGGGCCAUGGUGCUGCUGCCCCAGCUGCAACUGCUGUAGCAAAGCUGUGCAGCAGCUGUAGCUGGUGCUAUUGAGGCUGCCUGAGCACCUGGCCACUCUGGGCCCUGAGUUCUGGAUGCGGCCUGGCGGGACAUGGCAGAGCUGGUGAAGCAGGGCAACCUACCUGGUGCAGCUCCCCCAGGGUAGAGAGCUCUACCAGAAGGAGCAACAAGUCCCUUAAUGUGCACCAAGGAGCCUUGACAGUGCAGGUCCCUGUCCGUGCCUAUGGACACAUGCAUAGUGGCAUGCCCCACACGCACUGCAAAACCCAGGCCUGCUGCCUGCAGUCCUUUCUGCAGCGUGGUCAGGGCUCCUCUUUGCAGCACCAUGGGGAAACCAGGCUGCUUCCAUCGGCAGGAUCUGAUGGCAAAAAGCCUGCCCAGGCAAAGAAUGAAGGUGGCAAGGCAGCCAGCAGAGCAGUAGAAGAUGCCACUGAGGACUGCUUGUCCAGCCGGCCACCAGCAGAGGACUGCAUUGUCCUGUCUGCCAGAGCAUCCUCCUCCCAGACGGACGGCUGCCUCAGAGGCCGGAUAAUCUCGUGCCACUUCCAGAGUGGGCGGUGUAUCCACCAGGACUGCGCAGCAGUUACACAGCGGCUUGCAGUUACACAGCAAGACCAGCUCCAGUCCGCAGAGACGUUGGUGUUGGGACUUGUGACAGAGAAGAGAACUCGCAGUGUUCCUUUGGUGCCCAAAGAAGUGCAGGAAAAGGAAGCAGGCCAGAUAAUCUCGUGCCCCCUCCUAAGUGGGCAGUGUCUCCACCAGGCCUAACCAGGUCCACCAGAGUGUCUCCCGAAUGAGCGACAGCAGCGCCCGAGAGAUGCAUGGGGAAACCAAGCCCUCCCUCUGCGCAAGGACAGAGGGUCCCGAGGGAACUCGGGCAACACAAAACUGAGAUGGGCUGUGGCAAGGAAAGGCAAAGGGCUGGUGAGCUGCAUGCUGGGACCUGCUCCUACACACAGCUGCAGACAGUUGUACGUGAGAGCAUCAUGCAAACAGAUGCAACUAUACGUUGGUGGGAGCAGAAGGAACAGCAGCCUGUUGGAUUGUCCAAGCGUCCACAAGAAGUACCCCACAUGCAAAAGACAGUAAGACCAGCAGCAGCAGCACCUUCACGCCUGGCUACAGAAGAUGACUGCAGAACUGCAGCCGGCCUGCGUCUGAGCAGCCCCCUCGCUGAGAGGAGAAUUGCAGACCAGGCAGGCAGGCAGGCUGACAGUGAAUAGCCAGCACGUGUGGCAGCCGGUGGCACCCACAGCCCCCAGGACAAAUCGUCAGGGCUCCAAGCCAGGCAGGGGAGCCGCAGAGCAGCCCCCGCAGACCUGCACCUGCACCUGCAUGCAUCCACCUGCGCAUGAGGGACUUCAUCAACCAAAGCAGGGACAACGUUGCUGGGACAACAAGGCCCAGGAGCCUUCUGCAUUGCCUGUGUCCUGCCGAAUGCAUUGUGAGUGCUGUAAGACAGCGGGAUCCAAGAGGGAUGCACAGAAGCCAGAGCAGCACAGCAUAAGAAAUACGAACCGGCACGUGCAGUCGCCCCCCAGGCAUGCUGAGGAAGAGAUGUGGGGCUCCAAAGCAGACAGAGGUGCCCAAAGGCAGCCUCACGGGAUCUGCUCCUGCUUGCUGCCACCAGCGCGUGGGACAACGGUGCGUAGCAUUGCCUAUGGCUCCAUUGAGUGGCUAUGUUGGCGGUAGGAGGUGGCCCCGCAGGUUCCCGCAUGGCUCUUGGCCACCCCGGCACGUCCCAAGUCCCAGCCUGAAUACAGGGCAGCAGCACAGGCAGCACAAACAGCUUCAGUGCUGCCCGUGGAGGACAACGGCUGCCACGCCAACGUCACCGCUGUGGGAAGUGCAGAGAGCCAACCCGGCCCGAUGCCACCUCCUUCCGCGAGCGCACAUCGAGGAAGCAGAGGGGCCGUGGGUGCCCACGGCUUUUGUCAUCAGCAUCCACUUGGCUGUGGGAGGGCCCAGCGUGGAAGGACGUAACGGAGCACCGGGGAACAGCCAGCUCGCAGCUACAGUCCCAUUAAAUCCUCUUUCUAUCCA